AUUGAACGCUGGCGGCAGGCCUAACACAUGCAAGUCGAGCGGCAGCACGGGAGCUUGCUCCUGGUGGCGAGCGGCGGACGGGUGAGUAAUGCCUAGGAAUCUGCCUGUUAGUGGGGGAUAACUCGGGGAAACUCGAGCUAAUACCGCAUACGUCCUACGGGAGAAAGUGGGGGACCUUCGGGCCUCACGCUAACAGAUGAGCCUAGGUCGGAUUAGCUAGUUGGUGGGGUAAAGGCCUACCAAGGCGACGAUCCGUAGCUGGUCUGAGAGGAUGAUCAGCCACACUGGAACUGAGACACGGUCCAGACUCCUACGGGAGGCAGCAGUGGGGAAUAUUGGACAAUGGGCGCAAGCCUGAUCCAGCCAUGCCGCGUGUGUGAAGAAGCUCUUCGGAUUGUAAAGCACUUUAAGUUGGGAGGAAGGGCGCUUGGCUAAUACCCAAGGGUUUUGACGUUACCAACAGAAUAAGCACCGGCUAACUUCGUG
rnacentral:rRNA from 1 species